rnacentral:rRNA from 1 species
GAUCCUGGCUUAGGAUGAACGCUGGCGGCGUGCUUAACACAUGCAAGUCGAACGCUGAAGCUCCCAGCUUGCUGGGGGUGGAUGAGUGGCGAACGGGUGAGUAUCACGUGAGUAACCUGCCCUUGACUCUGGGAUAAGCCCGGGAAACUGGGUCUAAUACUGGAUAGGACUGGCCAUCGCAUGGUGGUUGGUUGAAAGCUUUUGCGGUUUUGGAUGGACUCGCGGCCUAUCAGCUUGUUGGUGGGGUAAUGGCCUACCAAGGCUUUGACGGGUAGCCGGCCUGAGAGGGUGACCGGCCACACUGGGACUGAGACACGGCCCAGACUCCUACGGGAGGCAGCAGUGGGGGAUAUUGCACAAUGGGCGCAAGCCUGAUGCAGCGACGCCGCGUGAGGGAUGACGGCCUUCGGGUUGUAAACCUCUUUCAGUUGGGAAGAAGCCUUUCGGGGUGACGGUACCUUCAGAAGAAGCACCGGCUAACUACGUGCCAGCCGCCGC